UUCUAAUUAUUUAAAAGAAAUUCCUUGAACUUUUGGGAUAAAAAUUGUCAUCGGCCUACCGACAAGUUGUGCUCAGAUUAUUUUUGAGUUUUGUAUUACGAUCCAAUUUGCCAUCAGAAUUCAUUAUGCAUGAUUGCACAUAGCAUGCACAUCAGUGUCGAGGAAUAGGCACUAUGUGUGCUGCCUGGCAGCCUGGCCCACCCAGAUAUUGGCUCAAAAAGGCUGACAGUAUCAUCAAAAGACCCACACCAUCCUGGCCACACACUCAUCUCCCUGCUACCUUCAGGUAGAAGGUACAGGAGCCUGAAGACUGCAUCGACCAGGUUCAGGAAUAGCUACUUCCCCACAGCCAUCAGGCUAUUAAACCUGGCUCGGACAAAACUGAUUAUUAAUAACCCAUUAUCUGUUAUUUGCACUUUAUCAGUUUAUUUAUUCAUGUGUGUAUACAUUUAUAUUAUGGUAUUUGGACACACUGUUCUGUUUUGUAGUAAAUGCCUACCAUGUUCUGUGUGCUGAAGCAAAGCAAGAAUUUAAUUGUCCUAUCAAUCAAUCUAUCAACCUUUAUUGUCAUCUUGCAAAGCAACAAUUGUACAGUGCAAAAUGAGAAGACGUUUCCCAGAGAAUACCGGAGCAUCGCACAUAAAUCUUAAACAUUUCACACAUAAUAAAGCAAUAAAAACAAUCCAGUCCCUGAUGAAACAGUAUAAAUAGUUAAAAGCAGGUAAAACAGCAACAUUAAAAUACAGUAAAAACAGUCUUUAAAAUGUCCAGGGCAGCUGAUUUGAGUGGCCAGUGCCAGAGUUAUUAAAUUGUCAGUGCAAGGCAGCAGAAUCAGGUGGAGUGACUGUUUAGCAGCCUCACAGCCUGUGCCAGGAAGCUGUUUAGCAGUCUGGUAGUCCGGGCUUUGAUGCUGCGGUAUCUCUUGCCUGAUGGCAGGAAAUCCAGGUGUGUGUGGAGGGGGUGCAGUUUGUCCUUAGCUAUUCUCAGUGCUUUUUUCAGACAGCGGCUCUGGAACAGUUCGUGUACCGAGGGUAGGGAGAUGCCAAUGAUCCUCUCUGCUCCCCUCACUACCCUCUAUCAGGGACACAUGACAAUAAACUCACUUGAACUUGAACUGUUGCAACAUGCCAAAUCUGCUCCAGCCACAUCAAGUACGAGGUCAACGUAUGGGUUGCAACCUUAAGACAAAAGCAGUACCAUCGUGGGCACCUCUGCAAGACAAAGUCCCUCUGGUUGAUAGAGUUGCCAACCAAGAGGCCAUGCUAUUACCAUUUCUUGCGGAGAAGUCAUUACCAUUCAGCUUGGCACCUGAACUGAUCAACUUAUCAAGGAAUUUUGCAGGUGAUCCCAAGGUGCUCAACCAUCUAUGGAUAGGAAUACAGCGUCAGACGGGAUGCCGUGUGGUUUGGCAAAAACCUUUCAAGAUGAACUUGUCCACGAUCUUCUAAGCAACAUGUUUUUCAUGAACAUUGAUGAAGCCACUAGACAAUAACAAACAAAUCUUGACCGUCUCGUAAAGCUACUAUUCCCCAUCAUUGAAUAAGGUGCUUA